rnacentral:rRNA from 1 species
AUGAUGGAGAGUUUGAUCCUGGCUCAGGACGAACGCUGGCGGCGUGGAUUAGGCAUGCAAGUCGAACGGUAGAUAUUCCUUCGGGGAUAUUGAGAGUGGCGAACGGGUGAGUAACACGUAGAUUAUCUACCCUCAAGUGGGGGACAACCCAGGGAAACUUGGGCUAAUACCGCAUGAGUGCAGCGCAUAGUGUAUCUCUUGUUAAUAAUUAUUAGCAAUUGGGUAUAUUAUGCGUUGUAUAAAAGGUGGCCUUCGGGCUGUCGUUUGGGGAUGAGUUUGCGUCCUAUUAG